UGAAUGCUCUUUGCUAAAAGUUUACAUAUAUCUCUAACACAUUUGUAUAUGCAUGGUCGGUCAUCCACGAUCACAAAUCAAUACAAAGAAAAUCUGUUCAUGAAAUUGUAUAUAGCUUUUUUUUUUGUACCAAACUAUACAGAUAUGAAAUUAUCUAACAAAAUCUAUGGUGCAGAAAAACCAUGGUUUGGAGGAAUGAUUUAGUGAAUUACACUUGUGGAGAAAUGAUGAACAUGCAAGAUUCACAUGAAUACAUGUGAAGAUUAUUGAUCUUUAAUGGAAUACACAUGCACAUUGCAUAUUUGUUUCACAUGACUAAAAUCCUAUUCUAAAAGUUUGAUGAAAAUCUACUCCAUCCUGAAUUCCUGAUGAGGUCUUGUUAUCUGAAAAAGGUGUUUAGACUCCUCAUAAUUCAUAACAUGUGUAACAUACAACCGGUUAAUAACUAACAAAAAAGUGAAAUGCAAAUGACUAUAAAAGUGUUAGAACGAACCCUUGUUCAAGGCAAGAAUCCAAUUCUGUACUGUUAUAUUCUUCUCCCAACAACCCCACUAGGGUUUUAGGACAUGUUAUGAAACAAAAAGAAAUAUUUGACUUACACAAAAGUGGAAGUUUUAGUUUUACAAAUUUUAAAUAAUCGGAUCUUAGCAAAUAAGAAGACUUCCAUGAGUAUUACCAAAAAAAAAAAAAAUUCCAUUAGCUUUAGUUCAAAGAAAAAGAGAAGAUUGUCGUUACAAAAAACAAAUGAAAAUACAAAUAAAAUAAUAACACAAGUAACAUUUUACACGUGCAGGAAAAACGAGAUGUAAAGUUGUGUUCUGUCCAAAUUUCGCCGUUCCGUUGCCAGCUUUUCUCUCGUAUGUUCAUGAUCCUUCUCUCUCUUCGACCACGACACAUACGUAACACAACACGCGAUACACGCACACACUCAUAUUUAUAUAAAUCAAAUCGACUAGCUCAAUCACAUCAUCAUCAAUAACUUCAGAAGCCUUUAAUUACAGCUUUACUCACAAUUAAAAGAUGGAGAUGCAAAGUAAUUGCGACUUGGAACUUCGCCUUCUUCCUCCUCGUGAUCCACGCAGCUCUGAGAAGCUACAACCAAAGCAAGAACCUCAGAAAAUGGUUAUUUUCUACAACGGUCGCGUAUUUGUUUCUUCAGAUCUUACCCAUCUCCAGGCAAAAGCUAUAUUAUCACUAGCAAGUGGAGACAUGAAAGAAAAAUCAUUAUCAUUGGAAAGUUCAGACGGCUCGGAUCCUUCAACAGUCCCUAACAUUUUGACCCGAAAAGCCUCCAUGAAGAGAUCUCUUCGUAGUUUUCUUCAGAAACGGAAUGUUCGGAUCCAGGCUUCUUGUCCUUACCACCAUUCUUGAUAAUUUUUGUUUAUUUUUAUUUCAGUUUUAUAUUUUUCAUGUUAAGACAUUACCGCUAGCACAGUGUUUUUUUUUUGCUUAUACGGAUUGAUUUUCCGUGUUCUUGACGGAUUACAAAUACUUGAAUUGUUGAAGAGUUAGUUUGGCCAAGAACUUAAAUGUGUACUAUAGAGAUAAUUAUGUCCUAUAAUGCUCAGCGGUUAGAAAUUUCCAUCAGCUCAAACUGGCUUCGGAGUCCAUAAGAUUUUUGAGGCAUAAGGAACUAUAUCCUUUGCGAUAUAGGACUGAUACUGAUAUUUCUUCAUCACAAUAUCAGAUAUUUCAAUCGCUAUUCGAUCUCAUGCAGAUGAGACAAAGUUCAACUCUUCAAAUGAUGUCUCAAAUUAAAAGUUAUAAUUCUUGGAGGGUACAUAACUGCCGGUGCAAAAGCCAAUUUAUCAAAGGUGAGCCGGAGUUUUUGAAUACUUUUGGAGCUUUACAUAAAGGAAUCUAUAGAGAGUUCUAAUAUUCAUUCACACAAUUAAUUAGAUAAAAAUUUAGAUAAAAUGGUAUUUGCCACAAUCUAUAGAUUCCUUUAUGUAAAUGAAUAUUAGAAAACUCUAUAAAUUUAGAUAAAAUGGUAUUAGAACAACAAUUUUUUUUGAGUGUUGAUGGUUUAAUUAAAAGCAAAAAUAUUUUUCGUGUUUUAGGUGUCUAAAUAAAUAGGACCGGACGGACCUGCCACUAGUCUAAAGUAGGUUCUUUCACAAUAAUAUUAUAUCAUAUAAACUUUACGUACGGUAGGUGGUAUAUAUUGAAAAUUAGGAAAUUUGUAAAAUGAUAAAAGGUGAGGUUUCAAGCUGUAUUUUGGAAGCUUUGUGAAAAGCGGAUUAAGAUCAGUAAAGAGAUCUAGUACUGAUCAAGAAGAUAUGUAUGGAAAGCAAGAUGAACCAAAUUGAAAAAGAAUUAAAGCAAAAAAAAAAAAAUUGAAAAAGAAGCAGCUGGUGAGAAAGAAGAAACGAAGAAGUUGCAAAUCACUCUACGAAAAAACUCAGAGGUCUUUGUUUGUUAAAACAAUACGAAUCAAAAAACUUGAUCAGUUGGGGUCAUAAUAUACACAAAAUGUUCAAUAUACACUGGUUGGUUGUGAUAGAGUUUUGUGGCUAAUGAGAUGUUCAAUGUUGGUGUAACUCAUACCCAAUUCAAUUUUUCCUCCAAUAUCCUUUAAGUUAAUAGCUACAGAUUAUAAUAGCGCAACUUUAAAUAGGUCCUCAUUUCUUUAAAUCUUUUAUAUCCUUCCAUAUAUAUUUUGUGGAAUAUAUAUGCCAGUAUGCCAACAUUAGAUGAGCUUUUUUGCCAGUAAGUCAGAAAUAGCCGAACGAAUAAAAAAA